AGUGAACGCUGGCGGUAGGCCUAACACAUGCAAGUCGAACGGCAGCACAGGAGAGCUUGCUCUCUGGGUGGCGAGUGGCGGACGGGUGAGGAAUACAUCGGAAUCUACUCUGUCGUGGGGGAUAACGUAGGGAAACUUACGCUAAUACCGCAUACGACCUACGGGUGAAAGCAGGGGACCUUCGGGCCUUGCGCGAUUGAAUGAGCCGAUGUCGGAUUAGCUAGUUGGCGGGGUAAAGGCCCACCAAGGCGACGAUCCGUAGCUGGUCUGAGAGAGUGAUCAGCCACACUGGACCUGAGACCCGGUCCAGACUCCUACGGGAGGCAGCAGUGGGGAAUAUUGGACAAUGGGCGCAAGCCUGAUCCAGCCAUACCGCGUGGGUGAAGAAGGCCUUCGGGUUGUAAAGCCCUUUUGUUGGGAAAGAAAUCCAGCUGGCUAAUACCCGGUUGGGAUGACGGUACCCAAAGAAUAAGCACCGGCUAACUUCGUGCCAGCCGCCGCGGUAA
rnacentral:rRNA from 1 species